rnacentral:rRNA from 1 species
UACGAAGGGGGCUAGCGUUGUUCGGAUUUACUGGGCGUAAAGGGCGCGUAGGCGGCCACCGCAAGUCAGUUGUGAAAUCUCUGGGCUUAACCCAGAACGGUCAGCUGAUACUGCGGGGCUAGAGUGCAGAAGGGGCAACUGGAAUUCUCGGUGUAGCGGUGAAAUGCGUAGAUAUCGAGAGGAACACCUGCGGCGAAGGCGGGUUGCUGGGCUGACCCUGACGCUGAGGCGCGAAGGCGUGGGGAGCGAACGGG